rnacentral:rRNA from 1 species
CAAUAGCGUAUAUUAAAGCUGUUGCGGUUAAAAAGCUCGUAGUUGGAUUUCUGUCAAGGACAACUGGUCCGCCCUCCGGGUGAGCACAUAGUUUGGUCUUGGCAUCUUGCUGGAAGCUGUUGCUGCACUUGGCUGUGUGGCGCAGCGUCCAGCACUUUCACUUUGAGGAAAUUGGAGUGUUUCAAGCAGGCACAUGCCUUUGGACACAGUAGCAUGGAACAAUUAGAUUGGGCUUUUGCUCCAAUUUGUCGGUUUCUGGAGCUGAGGUGAGAAUUAAUGGGGAUUGUUGGGGGCAUCCGAAUUUAGCCGUCAGAGGUGAAAUUCUUGGAUCUGCUAAAGACGGACAACUGCGAAAGCGUUUGCCCAGGAUGUUUUCAUUGA